UACGUAGGCAGCGAGCGUUGUUCGGAAUUACUGGGCGUAAAGCGUGCGUAGGCGGCUGUCUAAGUUUGGUGUGAAAUCUCCUGGCUUAACUGGGAGGGUGCGCCGGAAACUGGGUGACUGGAGUGUCGGAGAGGUAAGCGGAAUUCCUGGUGUAGCGGUGAAAUGCGUAGAGAUCAGGAGGAACACCUGUGGUGUAGACAGCUUACUGGACGAUAACUGACGCUGAGGCACGAAAGCGUGGGUAGCAAACAGG
rnacentral:rRNA from 1 species